UUUGCAUUGCUCAAACUCUUUUUUUGUCAUCUGAAUAUAUUUAUAAAAGCAAAAGUACAGAUUACAAAAGCCGGCAGAAGAACAACAAAUCCCCGGAAACCAAACCCCACAAAGGGGAGCAAAUGCCCAAAAGAGGAAAACAUAAGCCGGCGAACGACAGAAAUGUUCCCGAAGUCACACAGCCGGAGAAAAACGAAAUAUCCCCGGAUACUAAACCCAAUGGAAAAAGGACAUGAAAAUACAAGGUAAAUAUUUCAAACAGAUACGUAAGAGGACGAAACCAUAAACUAUGACAGAAGCAAGAGGCUAAAACCUUAAGCGGAAAGAAAGACUAAAGAACACAAGGACACACUUCUUCUGAACCACCUGCGGAUGAGAUUUAUUUAGGAUGCCCUCGGCCAAUCCUAAAAUAACAUCUACCUCCUCCUAUCACGACGAGAGCUGUUCUCUCGAAACCAAGAACCAGACUUCAGAACCCGACAAGCAAACCUAUGAGUUGAGAAAACCUCGAGCACGCUUUCGGAUACGACUACGACGACUGCCACGUCCAUUAAAAGUCUAACUAGAAAUCUUCAAAACGCGAUCCUAUCUAAACAGAUUCAGGAAAGCAAGGACAAGGAGGGAGGCCCAACCACUCAAAUAACAUCACUAACGAUGAAAAAUCGGGAGAGUUGUCAAACACAGCGAGUCAACACCAGGAAGAAGAAGCAGCUGCAAACUUAGCGGUCUAACAAUCCAAACAAACAAAUGUAACUUCUUCAUAGCAAGGAAACAUACCCAACAGAAUUCAGAGGUUGAGACGAGAUGACUAAGAGCGGGAAGAAGAGCAGCGACAGGACAAAACCUGACUAUAGCCCAGACGACACUCAACAAACGGCAUAGAGACUAUCAACACAAGAGCGACUACACAAGGGACAAAGCAAGCAAAACCAAGGCAUAAUUCUUAGAGCAGCACCGUAGAUCCUAUACAUCCGGAGCCAAGAGAAUUGCUAUAGCCAAGGGUCCCAAAGAUAAAGACGCUCCAACCGAACCCGCAAAACACAAAAUCAACCUCGAAGCAAACCAAAGAAAACCCACACGCAUGCCGAAGAUACUCACCCAAACCUAACAAAACGCCUCAUCUAAUUGAAGGAGAAAGGACCAGAUGGAAGCUUACCCGACCAAUAAACACACAAAAGUGCAGAAAGACAGAACCGAAAGCUUCAUCAAAGAGACGAAGACAACGCCGGAUCUGACAAAGAGAGAAAAAACUUCUCCUGAUACUGCUGAGGGAGAACGAACAGCGCUCAAAGCACCACCGAAGUAAACCUCACGGUAAAGACCAUCUAUUCAGCUGAGAAGCUAUCCACCACCGAUCCACCCGGAAAAAGCUGAGGCAACGCAAGAGUACAACCAAACAAAGAAAAACAGAGCAGAACUGUCCCUCUCACGGUUACGGCGAGAAGCGCCGAUCACCGGAGAGGACGAACGGGAAUCGUAUUUUGAUGGACGGCGGCUAGGGCAACUUCAAAGAGCGAGGCAUUGCUCAAACUCAAAUUGGCUUUCUUUAUUGUGCUAUUUACUUAUUUAAGAAGGUCCUCUCACUUGGAUUUUUUUAAUUAGUAAAUUAUACAUGUAAUGUGCAUGAUGAAAUUAAUGAUUAC
rnacentral:lncRNA from 1 species